AGUCUCAGUCACCUUCAUCCUCGAGCAACAAACCCUCCAUAGCACCCUCUCACUCUCGGUCUCGAUAGCUAACCAUCGUCGCCCCCCACUCUCGGUCUCGAUAGCUCGCCAUUGACCCUCUCACUCUCGGUCUCGCCAUUCACCCUCUCAGUCUCGCCAUUGACCGCCUCACUACAAGCGGAAACCCUCUCACUGUCGCCGUUGAGAGUCAUCGCCUCCCACUCACGACUCACCUGCACUACUCUCCAUAGUGACCGUCGUCAUCUCCUCUUCGCCAUCGCUUGCACUGAUCGUCGCUGUGCGGCCCUCACCAUCGUCGGUGUGCGACCGUCACCAUCGUCGCUGCGCCGCUCUCACCAUCAUCAUCUCCGUGCUUCUCAUCAUCGUCUUCGCUGUGCUCACAUCAUUGAAUAGUUUGAACAGUUUCUUGGUUAGCCAGAAACAGAAAUGGUGUGAAGAAUGUAAAGAAUGAAAAGAAGACAAGGAGUAGAGAAGAAGUAGAAGAGGAAGAAGAAAGGUGAGCUGAAUUAAAUUUCUUCAGAAGACAAAGAAGAAAUACAACUAUUAUUGAAGUCAACUUGCUCUUCUGAAACAACACCCAACUCUUCUGAAACAGAAAUGGUGUGAAGAAUAUAAAGAAUGAAAAGAAGACAAGGAGUAGAGAAGAAGUAGAAGAGGAAGAAGAAAGGAAAGGGAGAUUUAAUAACAUGUUCUAAGCAAAAGAAUUCAGAGUUAUUUCACACGGUUCUUAGAGGCUUAGGACAAUUUGGAGUUAUAACAAGAGCAAGAAUUUCUCUUCACCCAGCACCCACAAAGGGUUCUUGGCCACAUCGCAGGCGAACACUGGAGAAUUCUGUGCCCCAACUCCACUGGAGCUGAAGAACAGAGCCACGAAAGAGAGCAAAACAGAGACCUUGGGUGCUCUAUUUUCCGAAAGAGCCAUUCCCAUUAUGGAAUAGCCAAACAAGGGUACACUAGUUAUGAAUAUCAUGAGCUAUGUAUAUAUAUAAUAUUGAUAUAACAUGCUUAAACUAGUCCGUGAAACUCAGCAACCUCUUUUUCUUUUUUUACUUGAGACACUCAUUUUGUUUGGAUGCUCAACUUGCACCACAGAUAUAAUCCAUGAUAUUGGUUACAUUAAG